GGAGUAAUACCGUAUACGCCCUUCGGGGGAAAGAUUUAUCGGAGAAGGAUUAGCCCGCGUUGGAUUAGGUAGUUGGUGGGGUAAUGGCCUACCAAGCCUACGAUCCAUAGCUGGUUUGAGAGGAUGAUCAGCAACACUGGGACUGAGACACGGCCCAGACUCCUACGGGAGGCAGCAGUGGGGAAUCUUAGACAAUGGGCGCAAGCCUGAUCUAGCCAUGCCGCGUGGACGAUGAAGGCCUUAGGGUUGUAAAGUCCUUUCAGCUGGGAAGAUAAUGACGGUAC
rnacentral:rRNA from 1 species